CAUGUCUAAGGGCAUAUUUUGCUAUUCUCAGUCAUGUCCUGCUGCUUUCCCUCUGUCUCUCUCCUCUCUGUGCUUCUUCUUACACAUCUUUGUCUCCUUAUGCCUUGUCCUUUAAAACUUUAAGUUCCAAAAUCACUCCUCAGCUCCUGGACCUUUCUAUUAUCUCCACCACAGUGUUCUUCCCUCAGGAAAAGCCCAAACAUUUCGCACCAGAUUUCCCUGGGUAUGUUUGCUCACAUUUUAAUUUCUGUAGCUGAGGGCAGUUUUUGACUGUUGACCCACCUCUCCCUCACCAGCAGCACAUGGGGCACAAGAGAAGAAGAAAUGUAGAUCAGAAAAGGCAACACCCAAAGCCCCUCAUUCCUCAAAGUUCUUUUACUGAGUUACAAAAUGACUGCCAAAGGACCCCUGAAAUUUUGUAUACAGCGCCCUACAAGCAGAAAUAAGAGCUGUUACACCAUAAAUAGGCUCAAGAGAAGCUGUUGUGAGAGCAGCAGAGCGUGCAACAGAGGAUACCCAUCCCAGCCUAUGUUGACUCUUCAAUGAUGCUCUGUACAGGUUAUAAGCAGAGUACUGCAACAGCACUGGAAAAGCAGAACCCCCCAGGAUGAGUCAUUUGUGUAUCCUGUGAUUGUGGUUUUAUAUACCAGGCUGCCAAGAUAAAGAUUAGCAUCCUAUGAAGGAUGCUAAGAACUGUCAUAUGUUGCAGCUAAAUCAGCACUGACUGUCUACACUGGUAUCAUCUUCUAAUUUUUGUAACCUUCUUCAUUCAUCUCUUGUAGAUUUUGUGUUACCAGGAACAGAUAUCUUGCUUUCUUAAAGGGCCUAGUAUUGCUGUCACUGGCCAGGGGGGUAUUGGUGGUGCAGAGGUGACACUUUGUCACACAUGAAGCGUGAGUUUCUAAAUGCGUUCAGCACGAGGAGAAUGUGCUAAAGCAGCUGGCAUGCAAAGUGCAUUGCACAGGGUCGAGUCUCUGGUCUCCUGUGCUGCCUUGUGAAAACCUCUAUUCAUGAACUGUCUGAUCAAGUCAGCACAAGAGGAAGCAAACCUGACCUCACUAGCACACAGCAAACACCUAGAGGUAAGUGUCCUCCUGCACCCACCGUGUCCAUAUCUGUUCUGUCUGUAGCCAUGCUGACUUGGACACCAUUCCCAGCUGCUGAAAGCAACAGCUUCUUCUUUCCAGAUGGGACUCCUGUUGUACUGGGGAAGGUGAUGAAGUACUGUGAUGUCUGGUGGGCUACUCCACUCAGUCCCCCAGUACCAGCACCAGUUUCAAGUCCUUUUCUCAGACAGGAAGUGAAGGCAAAUGAUCGAUUUUCACUCCCUCCUGGUCACAUAAGAGCUGAGAAACAGCUGAGGAACUUUGUAGGGAGAGACAGAGACAUUAAGAUCUCUCCCCAAUGCAUGACAUUAUUGUCAGAUACCUUUAAACAGCAGUCUGGUGGGAUAAGUCCAUGCUGCGCUAGAAACAGCUCUUUGCAACCUCUUGUUGAUCCAUGCUCUGACCAUAAAUCAACUCCUAGUCCCUGAAUGAAGAAUGGAAACUGCAGAAAUGCUGGAUGGGGAGAUGAGUGUAUCUGUAUCUGAUGAGGAGCCGGACACUUCCACACCACAGCUCACCAAUGUGACAAGAAGCAUGGCAGUGGUCACCCUGCAAUCCACUCCAGGUUCUACUGCAAUGUGCUGAGGCAGGGUAAGUGAUACACCACAGCAACAAGAUGAGGCCCUCAAGAAACCUCUUCAGGAACUUAAAGCUGUGGCUUAAUCCUCUGAGUAAGCUCAGAGAAUUGUGGCUGACACCGAUCCAUGUUGAGGCAGACAUUGCAGGGCUUUAGUGGAAAGGCUAGGACAUGAAUAUCACAUGACCAGGCACGUUACAUACCCUAAUAGGCCAUGUACUCUCUUUUCACUGAACUACACUGGGAUAAUUGUUAAUGUCUUAUCUGAGAAUCUUACUGAAAAUACAUGACAAACAUUGUGGCCAAUUGUAUAACCAGGUAUGAUUUUAGCUGUGUUUUCAGCAAACUCUUACCAAGAUGCACUGAAGAAAGUGGCUAAAUAAAUUUAUGUUUACCAACAUCUGAUAUCAAGUGCUCCUUAAGAAAGGAGCUGGAGUGCAUCAUCUGUGUAGUUAUUUAGAGCCAUAAACACAGUAACACCAGAAAUGAGCACAGAGAGAAUGCAGAGAUUUGCCAGGAAAUGGUGACUGUAUAAUGUUAUGUUUGCAUUUAAAGGCAAGUGUUAACAGACCCUUCUGAUGGACAAUCAGCUUUAUUUUUUAGUCAAAGCAUAGACUUGCAAGCAAUGUAAACCAAAAUUGUCUGGAAGUGUAAUGAAUAUACUUGCAGGAAACCCAAGCACUUUUAGUGAUAAAGAUAGCCACUACAAUACCUAGUGCAACAACAACUGAUGAUCUGUGUGAAGUUUUGCAUUUUCUUGAUGUAUUGGCAGAUAGUCAUAGCUUCAUUCAGAAGCAUCAAUAUGCACUUUUUUUUUCUUAUUUGUUGCUGACCUAAGAUAGUUCAAAAGCAAAUCAUGAAUACUCUAGCCUUUGAGGUAUCACAACCCUAAGCUGAGCUAACAAGAACAUCCUGCAACCAAACAAAGAAAGAACGAUCUUCUGUGCUUCGGGAAUAACAAAAGGUAUGGCAGUCGUGAUCGUUACACUCAGCCAUGCAGCCACGCACUGAGUGCUAAUCAAUAGAGACGGAUUUAGAAACCCAUGUAAGUCAUUUCCAGCAACAGAGGUAAGCAGAGGGCUCAGAAAUAGCAUAGCAACGAGAUUGUUCUGCCUGAAGAAAGCCAUUGCCAUCACUCCCACUCCAUCGCCGUCAGCUGUGACACACACAGGCCAUGUAAAUGAUAUCAUUUCAGUGCUGAGUGAGUGCAGCAUUUGGGCUUUUCUACUCUGAAAUUGCACAUACUUGCAAUCUGCUCUGAGUGCCUGUUUAAAAUGAUAUUCAUGUCAGGAUUUGUAUCCCAUCUGGAUAUGAGCGAAUACAUGGCAAGCUGACUUUGUACCACACCCAUAUGGACCUGAAAGCCUGACACUCCCGCCCUCCCCCAGAAGAGCACUUACAUCUUCAAGAUGCAGACUGCUGGGCCUUCAUCAGGCAGCUGUGCUGUUGGGCAUUGCAGCCUGAAUCUCAGCACCGGACCACACUUGCUUCUGUAUCAUCUCCCUUUGUUCGUGCCUGUCUCAUGUCAUUUUUUGAUACUGAACUUCCCACUGUUUAAAUCUCUCAAGGUCACUCCGCAGUUUUGGCUCUUAUGCUAAAACAAGAGGGAAAGGUUUUGAAAGCACUUUCUCUGUGGCUGCAGGGACUCUGGCAGGGCACUGCUUAGGAGUAUGACAGUGAAAGAGAAGUGGCGUGUGUCCAUGCAGAUCAAGUUUAUGUGAAUCACAAAAAUCAUUAAGAUAGUUACAGCUUUGAACCCAUAUUUCACACAUUCUUGCAACAGUGAGCGUUUGUGAGCACAGCAUGUGCUGAUAUGGGACACUGUCUUUGACUAGAAACUCCAGACGUGCAAAGCAGUACAAGCAGUUGCCACUCAACUUGGAUAUGUGCAACUUCACAGCACUGUUGCAGUUCACUAAAGAAGCAGUGAACCCUGAGGAUGUUGUCAAAGCACAAACUCUUUACUGGUUAUCCAUAGAUACUUCCUUCUCAUGCCUGCAUCCUUUCAGGGGCUCUUUUGGAAAAAUGGAGGCAUGUGCUCAAGCAGUUGAUGUGUACAACGCUUACACAGAUGUGGUUUCAAUUGAGCAUAGAAGAAGCAAGGAUGGUUUGCAUUCAACCUCACUUCAGACUGUUUAGGGCAAUUGCCUAGGCUCAUCCCAUAGCUAGUGAGGAUAGAGAGGAGCAUUUUCAGGGGCCAGUUCAUCCCACUUAUGCUAUAAGCAUCUUUUAGGAUAUAGUGCUUUGUCUGCUGGUUCCUAUCUCUCCCCAGUGGCCACAGAAGAAUGUUGGUUUAGAUUGUGUAUCUAAUUCAUAGCAGAAUUAAGUUAGAUAAGAAAAACCUCAUGCCUUGGGAUUAUUGUGGGUAUUCAGUUUCCAAGCAAAACUCUGAAGAGCCAUCAAAACUUUCAUAAAUGCCCAGGUAGAUGUAAAAACAGAUUUGUGAGUGAUUUUAUAAUAGGAAGAUACUACAGCAACAGUACAAGUGUUGUUUUAGAUUUCUGUGUUGUCAGACUGCAAUUUCUGCUAUAUUUCAUUUCCUACUGUGCCAGGUUUUGCCUCCCUGAAACUGAGAAGCAGUUUUCUUUGGGUAUCAGAAUAGGAGCUAUGUGUACACCUGGACAAUUUCCAAGAACUUUCCAAAACUGAGAAGUCAUAUUAAAUAGGUUUUUUUUUUUUUGGUAUUUUAGAACAUAAUUUUGUUGUUAUGACUGGCAGAGGGGAAUCCCGUCCUUGCUGUAUAUGUUGCAUGAAUGGGAGUUCAAAAAGAGACAUCUAAAAUAACAGUCUUGGAGGUAUAUCUGCAGAUUUGAGUUGCAUGUUUUGAUGGUCCUAAUGCUGUGAUUAGAGAAAUAGCAUUGACUGGAGACCAGAGACUUUUAUUUGAAAAUCAGCUCAAUUUGCUCAUGCCUUUUGGCAAUACUGGACAGAGUUCUGAGUUCUUCACACAGACUUCUUAGUUCACAGAUUUUGCCUUAAGGCUGAACUGUUCCUUUUUUCUAUGCCUAUACGCAAUGCUCCGGCAAACACAAUAGAAAGGCAUAUUGGAAAGCUUUCAGCCUCUUGCACCGCUUAACACAAUCCUUGUAGCUGUCUGUGUUGUUUACUCAGCCACCAAUAGUAAAAAGCAUUCCUUCUCAUCUUUCUUUGCUUUAUUUUUUAACCCAAUCCAAGCCAAAAGAAAGCAGCCUCCCAGUUACAGACCUCUGCAGGAAAGGCUGCUUGUGUGAAGCUGAAAUGGAGCCAGAGCACACCAGCAAGGAAGCUGUGAUUUCAUCCAACAGAAACUCAGAGGCUUCACUGCAGCACUUUGUGCAGAUGCAGCAUCAUUCAGGCCGGGUGCUCAGCCAGUGCUAGCAGAGGAGUCCCUGAGAGGAUGCCCGUGUGAUUCUGUGCCACUGUCCCUUGCUUUGUAGCUCCAGCCCUCUGAGGAAACCAGGUAUGCUCUGCAGGUUUUAAAAUAUUUUUUAUUCCUUGGAAUGAUGCCUAAUUUCCAAGGUAAGGAUGAAGUGCAUGCAAAUGGGGAAUAUUGAUAAUAGAAGGAGAUGUCACCAAGGAUGUCACCGUUCCUCUUGUGGUGGAGCUGUGGCAGUCAGGUGUCCUGGGGGAGGAGGUGCAAGAAAAUGAGCCUAAGUGAGAUAGCUGGGCACUGCUGUGGGAGGGUUCAGAGUAGUCUGCAGCCAAAUAGUGGGAAUCCUGAGAGGUUCUGCCAUAAGGACCAAGUGAUCAGAGGUGAGUAGCAGCUAUGGCAUGAGCUGUGGUGCUUGUCUGGGGAAUGCUCAGACGUGAAGAGUGCUGUUGGCUUGAGAUUUGUGCUUCACCUGGUGUCAAGCCAGCACUCAAGGAGUGCUGGUGGGCAGCUGGUGUGGAGGGCUCAGGGAGCUGUGAGCUGGGUUGGGGAAACACUGGAGAUCAGAGCAAACACACUUGCACCAGUGAGACUCCAGGGUGACUGCUGAAAGCUGUAGAGUAACACCAACAAAACUGUAAACAGGACUUGGCCUUGCAAUUAGAAAAGAAGGUUUGGCAGAGGGCUUGGAGGGGUGCUGUGUGCUAGCUUCUGGUUGUAUAAAUGUAUGUUUCUCAAAUAUCUGAGCUAGUUUCUGAGUUUGUGUCUGAAGCAUUCUGAGCCUGUAUCAUCUUUCAUGUGGAACAAAGAAACUGUUGCAUUUCAGACAGUCACCCCCUCAAUUAUUUAAUGUAACUAAAUACCUGUGCCCAGCUCCGCAGACUUACGUAAAGCUGCAAAACUGGCUCAGUUCCUUGCCUUGAAUCAGUGCUAUUUUCCUUUUCUGUAAGCUACGUUAUGGCAUCAAAUGAGUGAAUUGGAGCAAUGCAAGAGACAUUUGGACAAAGAACAGAAAACAUGACCAGGCAAGUGUGGAGGGGAGGGAACGUGAUGCUCCCUGGACAGCCCGGGCUGCAACGCAGUCUGCUGCUACUUGUGGGGAAGUGAGAGCAUCUGAAGUACGACACACUUUGUGUUUGACAAUAAAUCCAGAGCCUGCUCAAGAAUGCUCAUCUGGAGAAAGUGGCUCCUACAGAAAGGCAGGGAGCACAAAGGCUGAGUGUUAUCACAGGGGCUGCUCCAUGAGCCGUGUUUGUCCAAGGACAGACAAUGAGUACCCUGUGAGCUGCCCUGAUGCUGAUUUUUGCACCCCUUUUCUUUCUCUGCAUCAUCAUUCCUCCUUCCAAAUCUGUCUCCUGUGCCAGAGAUGAAGCUGUAAGUACCAGGAGGGAAUAAUGUCUGUAAACAUUCUCACUAGAAGAGCCGUAGGAAAACGUCCCUUUUGCUCUGCCAACAUGAGCACCUAUUAUCCACUGUGCUAGGUGGGGAGCAGGCUCUGAAGCACCUCAGGUCUCACAAAUGCCUCCAGCACCUGCAGGGCAUUUCUGAGCAGCCCCAAAGGCACUAAGGUGUUGCUGUACCAGCAGGUGAGGAGUUCCAGAAGAAGGUUGCCUCUCCCUGGUCCUGCUUCCCCACAGCUGGCAAUUGUUGCCAUGAGCACUUCUGGUUAGCGCCUUGCAUAGAGUCAUAAACUCAUAGACUCAUAGAAUGGCUUGGGUUGGAAGAGACCUUAAAGAUUGUCUAGAUCCACCCAUCCUGUGUAGAUGGCUUUGUAGGGAGCACUGCUGCCACUGUUGUUUCAGUAAUGCCAAGAGCCAUCAGCAGGCUUUCUGUGACUAAAUGUAGCGUGCUCCACUGUUAUUUAUGGAGACGGAUGGCUGCCUCUGGAGAGGGAGACAUCCAUUGUUCUAAUCAGAGAAAAAGCCUGUUAAAAUUGAGCAUCUACCUCUGAUGAAUUUCCUUCCCCUUUCCAGCAGAGAUAAUUCACUCAGAAGUUUGUGUCUCUCUUUUAUGCUUUUUGCCUCUCACACUGAGGGCCAGAACAUUUUGAUUACUGCACUGGGGACUGGAGAUGAAGAUGUUAGAUUGCCAACCUCAAAUCAUGGGGGGAAACGCAGUCCGAGGGUUGUGCAGUAACAGAAUUGUUUUGUUUAUUGUUAAGUUAGCAAAAAUUACAGACUUUCUGUGCCAGAAAAUGAUCUAUGUUUAUUAAUUUAUUCACAGUGUUGUGAUUAACAUAUUUCUGCUGACAGUCUGGCUGCUUAUUUGUUUGCCUUAAACAAGCAAAUGAGUAAAUGAAAAACAGUUAAAAUAGAGUACUAUCAUUUGUUUGUGAAAGACAGAAAGUUUUGCUGCUGAAUCUUUCUAAUGCUUCACUGAUGGCAAUAAAAUGAUGUUUAGAACAACCGAGCUGAAAGAAAGAGAAAAAGAAAGAAAGUGGAGGGGAGGAAGGGGAAUACAGAUUAGUACAACAAAUGCUUUUUGUCUGUGUUUUGAUAUCUGACCUGAAGUGGUCAUAAAGGCCUGUAGAAAGAAAGAGUUCCCCAUGAAGUCUCACAGAAAUCUGUGCUUGGCCUUGUGUUGAACAUACAGGUUACCCGGAAAAUGAAGAGCAGCUUGAGGUGCAAGUGCUUCUGGAUGAUCAGUUUCACUAGGUAGUAAAAUGAAGGUCAGCUGGGAAGAAGAUUUCAAGGUGUGGGUUUUCUGAACAAAAGCCCCCCUGCUGAAACAACCCAGAUUUCCAAGGCAAAGAGAGAAGUGCCAGAUUUCCAACCCCCAGUGCUCAGGCAGAAGAGGUCUCUGGAUUAUGGUGGGUUUUUAUGAAGCUGUCAGCCCAGCACUCAGUGGUGGAAGGGGAGUGUAACAUUAGGAAAGCACAAAGAGGAAAACAUAGCAUAGUAUGCUGGAAAUUUGUUGGGGAAGCAGCACCUUGAAUAUUGUCUGCAGCUCCAGUUCUCUCAUGCUAAAAAAGAACAACAAAAGGUAGAAAAAAGGACAAGAUACCUGAAGCAACUUGUACACCAUGAAUGAUUAAACAGCCUGGGACUGGUGAGGAGUGGAAAAAAAGGAGGGGAGAUUUGACAAUGAAUCCUAACACCACAGGCAGCACAGUGAGAUGGACUAGAGAAAGACUUUUCUGUUUUACAACACAGAAGAACUAGAGAAAACCAACAGAAAUAGGCGGGCAAGAUCAGAAAAGAUAAAGAGAGGCAUAAAAAUCUUUGUUAUUGUGAGUUGCAGAUGAGCUUUUUGCAGUGGAUUAGGAACAUAAGGAGGUCUGUAUUUUCCCAUGGAUAGGAGAUCCAACUAGAGACACAAGUGGACUUAAAAAGGAUGCAUGGAAAUGGCAGUCUGGCCUGCCUUUAUUGAGGUCUCUCCCUGGCUUCACUGGCUCAGCUCGAGAGCUCUUUCCUUUUCAUGUUUAUUUACUGUAGAACAGAGUUUGGGCUGUGGAGUUUGGGCACAUGACAGUGUGUAACUGUAAGAAAUUACCAUCUGAUGUAAUCCAUACAUUUGGUACUCAUGAGAAAGUGCAAACUACAGCUCAAAGUGCUGUAUGUAUACAUUUAUUAUACUAUUUGCAUUCCUCAUUAUGCUUCUCUCAUUUUUGUAGUGUGAAUUGUUCCAACUUCAAUUGUUUCUACAAAAACUGAUUACAAUCAAGCUUUCUCACAUCAUCAAAACUCAGGACGUACCGAGCAUUUUAAUUCCAAUUUAGCCUACCUAGCAAUUAGUGAUUUACCUCAAUGACUUUUAAGUUCACUUUAAACUGGGUGAAUUCCUUCUAAAUGGGAAGGCCAAGGUUGGUUAAACUAUAUGGGCUAAUUCAAAACUGGUAAUUCAAGUCAUUUUGACUUCUUUCCCACUGAUUACAUGUAGGACAAAUAUAGAGUUCAUACAACAUGCUAUAGCCAGGCUCUCUGGUUACCUGCUUAUCUUUUCUGGAAACUGGAAUUAGAACCACCAUUCAGCUCAGUGCUGGCCAGGAGUUAUUGCAGUGGAGUCAAGCACUUCUGGUGAUCCAGCCCCGCAAGCCUAGACAGCUAAAGGAUGCUUCCUGAACUUUCAGCUCUGAAGCCAUUUAACCUCACUUAAUUUUGCCUUUGCAAACACAUUAAAUAAUGUUUUCAUUUUCUCCUUUCUGGUUUUGUGUACCACUCUAGUCAGCUAGUCAAACAUGAAGAACUCAGGCAUGAAACAUAA